GAUGAACGCUGGCGGCGUGCCUAAUAUAUGCAAGUCGAGCGAACAGAUGAGGAGCUUGCUCCUCUGACGUUAGCGGCGGACGGGUGAGUAACACGUGGAUAACCUACCUAUAAGACUGGGAUAACUUCGGGAAACCGGAGCUAAUACCGGAUAAUAUAUUGAACCGCAUGGUUCAAUAGUGAAAGACGGUUUUGCUGUCACUUAUAGAUGGAUCCGCGCCGCAUUAGCUAGUUGGUAAGGUAACGGCUUACCAAGGCAACGAUGCGUAGCCGACCUGAGAGGGUGAUCGGCCACACUGGAACUGAGACACGGUCCAGACUCCUACGGGAGGCAGCAGUAGGGAAUCUUCCGCAAUGGGCGAAAGCUUGACGGAGCAACGCCGCGUGAGCGAUGAAGGUCUUCGGAUCGUAAAACUCUGUUAUUAGGGAAGAACAAAUGUGUAAGUAACUAUGCACGUCUUGACGGUACCUAAUCAGAAAGCCACGGCUAACUACGUG
rnacentral:rRNA from 1 species